GUACUUGCUUUGGCAGCACAUGUACUAAAGUUGGAAUGAUACAGAGAAGAUUAGCGUGACCCCUGUGCAAGGAUGGCAUGCAAAAAAGAAAGAAACAUUAGAAGCUA
ensembl:snRNA U6 U6 spliceosomal RNA